AGGGCAGUCAGUGGGGGUUUCUUGAAGGGCUGCCAAGUGAGGGGCAAGGGUGGAGAAGGGGUGAAUAUUUCCCAUUUGUUGUUUGCGGAUGACGCCCUAGUCUUUUGUGAAGCCUUUGAGGAGUAAAUGCCGUAUCUAAGUUGGUUACUUAUGUGGUUUGAGACCAUAUUGGGGUUGAAAAUAAAUUUGGAUAAAAGUGAGUUAAUUCCAAUGGGAGAGAUGAACGAUAUUGAGCACUUGGCUUUUGAGCUUGGUUGUAAGGUGGGUGGGCUUCCUUCCUUUUAUUUAGGCCUCCCGUUGGGUGCCCCAUUUAAGUUUAUGGCGGUUUGGGAUGGUGUGGAAGAGAGGUUUAAAAAAAGAUUGGUCAUGUGGAAGAGACAAUAUAUCUUCAAAGGAGGGAGAAUUACACUUAUUUGAAGCACCUUGUCUAGUUUGUUCAUUUAUUUUAUGUCCUUGUUGCGCAUCCAAAUGCUAGUUAGAUUGAGAUUGGAGUAGAUUCAAAGGGACUUUCUUUGGGGUGGUGGGACUCUUGAGCGGAAAACACGUCUAGUGUGGUGGGAUAUAGUUUGCCUUGACAAGAGGAAAGGGGGCUUGGUUGUGAAACGUCUUUCCACACUCAAUAAGGCUCUUUUGAGCAAGUGGAAUUGGCUCUUUGCUAUUGAGAAAGGGGCCCUUUGGAAUUGUGUUAUUAGUGGGAAGUACAGGGAAGAGGAAGUGUGGUGGUGUUCCAGGGAGAUGAGGGAGGGGUUUUGUGUUGGUGUUUGGAAAGUCAUAAGGAAGGAGUAGGGUUUUGUGAGUAGUAUGAUCUCUGUUAAGAGAGAGAGAGAAGAAAACCUUGAUUCUCAGUCAUUGUGUCUACUUACAAUUAAGAAAAUAUAUAUAUACAAGGCUAGGAGUCCUAACUACCAUACAUGUGACCUAUAUUAAAAAGGAAAGAUUGUACACUAUAAAUUCAUUAUAUUCAACACUCCCCCUCAAGCUGGAGCAUAUACGUCAUAUGCACCAAGCUUGUUACAAAUGUAUUUAAUCCUAGGACCUCUGAGAGAUUUAGUGAAGAUGUCUGCUAGUUGAUCAUUUGAAUUAACAAAACUUGUAGCAACACAUCCUGAUGCGAUCUUCUCUCGAAUGAAGUGACAGUCAACUUCAAUAUGUUUGGUCCUUUCAUGAAAGACUGGAUUGGAUGCAAUAUGUAAUGCGGCCUGGUUAUCACAGAUGAGUUUCAUCUGUUCAUCCUUUCCAAAUCUCAACUCUCGAAAAAGAUGUCUCAACCAUAUGAGUUCACAUGUUGCCAAAGCCAUAGCUCGAUACUCAGCUUUAGCACUAGAUCUGGCCAGUACAUCUUGUUUCUUACUCUUCCAAGAUAUUAGAUUACCUUCAAUAAAAACACAGUACCCCGAAGUGGAACGUCUAUCUGUGGGUGAGCCAACCCAAUCUGCAUCUGUGUAACCAACAAUCUGAGUAUGACCUCUGUUCUCGUAUAACAUACCUUGGCCUGGUGUACUUUUGAUAUAUCGAAGAAUGCGGAUUACGGCAUCCCAAUGGCUAUCACAUGGUGACUGUAGGAAUUGACUAACAACACUCACAGGAAAAGAAAUGUUUGGACGAGUAAUGGUGAGAUAGUUCAAUUUACCUACGAGCCGUCGAUAUCUCCCAGGGUCUCCUAAAGGCUCCCCCUGUCCUGGUACAAGUUUGACAUUCGGAUCCAUAGGUGUGUCUAUCGGUUUACAGUCUAACAUACCAGUUUCUUCCAGGAUGUCUAAAGCAUACUUCCUUUGGGAAAGGACCACACCAGAACUGGAUGGAGCUAUCUCAAUUUCCAAGAAAUACUUGAGUUUCCCCAAGUCUUUGGUUUGAAAGUGGGUAAAAAGAUGUUGCUUUAGUUUUUGAAUACCAUCCUGAUCACUGCCUGUAAUGACGAUGUCGUCCACAUAAACAACCAGAUAAAUACACUGCCCCAAGGAGUUAUGAUGAUAGAAAAUUGAAUGGUCUGCUGUACUGCGAAGCAUGCCAAACUCUUGAACAACAGAACUAAAACGGCCAAACUAUGCUCGAGGAGAUUCUUUCAAGCCAUAUAGAGAACGACGUAACCUGCACACUAAACCAGACUCCCCCUGAGUAACAAAACCUGGAGGUUGCUCCAUAUAAACUUCCUCAGCAAGAUCACCAUGAAGGAAGACAUUUUUAAUAUCCAACUGAUAAAGAGGCCAAGAACACAUAGCAGCCAUGGAGAGAAGCAAGCGGACAGAAGCAAUCUUGGCAACAUGGGAGAAUGUGUCACCAUAAUCAGAACCAUAAACCUGAGUAUAGCCUUUAGCAACUAAGCGGGCCUUAAGGCGAUCAACCUGACCAUCAGGACCAACCUUAACUGCAUAGACCCAACGACAGCCAACUGUAGAUUUACCAGAGGGUAAAACAACAAGAUCCCAAGUGCCAUUAGAGUGCAGAACAUCCAUUUCAUGCACCAUUGCCUGUUGCUAGCCUGGAUGGGAAAGAACUUCAUGGGUGCUCUUUGGAAGAGAAACAGAGGAUAUAGCAGAAACAAAAGCAGAAUAGGGUGAAGAUAAUCGAUGAUAACUCAAAAAAUUGUAAAUAGGAUGAGGAUUACAAGUAGAGCGAGUACCUUUCCGAAUAGCAAUGGGUAAAUCAUCAGGAGAAGGCAGAGCCGAGGUAGGAGAAGCCGAAGGGAUAGGAAGUGAGUCAGUAGGUGCCUCAGCAAAAGGGAGAGGAGCAGCGACACGAGGGCGAUGAUGAUAAACUUGAAGUGGUCGAGGAGGCAUAACAUCAGAUGGGGAGACAAUGGGAAGGGGCAAGACUUCAGAAACAGGAAGAGACUCAGAAGUGGUGGAAAAGAAUGGUGAGUCCUCAAAGAAAGUGACAUCAGCGGAGAUAAAGUAUUGAUGAGUCUCAAGGGAACAACAGCGAUAACCCUUCUGAAGUGUGGAAUAUCCCAAGAAGAGGCACUUCAUGGCUUUGGCGGAAAGCUUGUCCUGUCCAGGAGUGAGAAUAUGAACAAAACAAGUACAACUAAAGACACGAGGAUGAAGGAAAUAAAGUGGUUGGUCAGGGAAGAGAAGGAAAUGAGGAAUCUGAUCAUGUAAAACAGAGGAGGGCAUACGAUUAAUUAAAUAACAAGCGGUAAGAACAACGUCCCCCCAAAAACGAAAAGGAACAUUACUAUGGAGGAGGAUAGUACGAGCUGUCUCAACAAGAUAUCGAUUCUUGCGUUCAACUACCCCAUUUUGUUGAGGAGUAUGAGCACAAGAAGACUAAUGAAGAAUCCCAUUAUGAGACAUAAAUGAAGUAAAUGGAGCUGAAAAAUAUUCCCUGGCAUUAUCACUGCGUAACACACGAAUAGAAAUAUUGAACUGGGUCUGGAUUUCAGCAUAAAAUUUUUGGAAGAUAGAGAAUAACUCAGCUCGAUUUUUCAUUAAAAAUAACCAAGUACAUCGAGAAUAGUCAUCAAUGAAAGUGACAAAAUAUUGAAAUCCUAAAGUAGACGCAGUCUGACAAGGACCUCAAACAUCAGUGUGGACAAGCUCAAAAGGAGACUUUGCCCGAUUAUUCAAACGCUUUGGGAACGAGACACGAGUAUGUUUCCCAAGCUGACAUGAUUCACACAAAAGCGACGACAAAGUGGAAAAACGAGGGACCAUCUUCUGGAACUUGGAGAGACUACGGUGGCCCAAACGACUGUGAAUGAGGAGAGGAGCAUCAGUAGAAAUGCAAACUGUAGGAGAUGAAUCCGAGGUGAGGUGAUAGAGGCCUUGAGACUCACAUCCUAUGCCAAUCGUCUUCCCCGUACUCCGGUUCUGCAAGGUCACAAAUUUAUCAGAAAAGGUAAUAGAGCAAUUAAGAGUACAAGUGAUUUUGCUAAUGAAAAUAAGAUUAAAAGGAUAUUCAGGAGUAUAAAGGACAGAAGUGAGAGGUAGAGAAGGCAGAGGAAGGGCCAAACCAAUACCUUUAGCUACAGUUUGAGAACCAUUAGCUAAGGUAACAGUAGGUAAAUCAAAGGUAGUAGUAAUAGAGGAGAAAAGAUCUUUAUUACCAGAUAGGUGAUUAGAAGCUCUAGAAUCUAGAAUCCAGGGUCCAAGAGAAGAUGUGUGGGUAAGGUAGGCAGAAGCAUUACCAGGCUAGGCAACAGAGGCAACAGAAGCCUGAGAUGCCUGAGAUGCGGAGGAGCUUGGAGGCUGAGGCAACUGAGAAUCAGAGGACUGGGCCACAUGGGCAGUGCGAGGAGGCCGUCCAUGUAACUGAUAGCAACGAUCGCGAGUGUGGCCAGUUUAUUGCAAUAGGUGCAAUGAGGACGUUGGCCUCUACCUCGGUUACCACUGCGUCCUCCUCGAGAGGUAGUGUGAGAAACUAACAUAGAAGAAUCUGAAAUGCUAUCAGAUGGCAAAGUCUGAGUGGAUGAGAUACGAACGAGGUGAGCAAACACAUCAUCUAAGGACGGAACUGAUGAAUUACCAGGAAUUUGAUGGCGGACAGGCUCAAGAUCCGGACGGAGGCCAAUAAGAGUAAGGACCAUGAAGAACUUAUCAAGCUAUGUUUGUUGAGCCCCAACAUCAGGAGAAGGAGGCAUCACAGUCAAGAACUCCUCCUUAAGAGAGGCAAUCUGGCCAAUAUAAGUAGAUAGAUCCAAGUCCUGUUGGCUAAUAUGGACAAUAGCAGAAGCCACCUUAUAAAGACGCUGGAUAUCAUUCGUGUAUAAUCCUUUGGCCUGAGUCCAAAAUUUAAAACAAGUUUUGUAAGCCCGAAGAUGAAGAAGGAUCUUAGGAUCAACGGAUUGCCAUAAUACACUACAUAACUGGGCAUCUAUCUUUCUCCACUGUACGCGCUCAACCUCAGGGAUAUCUGCCUCCUGUGUAACCAAGUGAUCCUCAUAUCCUUGUCCCAUAAACCAAAGUUCAACAGAGGCAGAUCAAGAAAGAUAAUUUUCACUGCCAACCAAUUUCUCCGAAGUAAUCAUAGGAGAUCCAGAUAUGACAGAGGAAAAAUGGAAGUUUUAGUAGCCAUAUCCACUUAUCUGGAGAAUGAAGUAUAUUUGGAUCGAAGAGAGCCCUAAUAUGGCUUCAGAUGCGGCCGAAGAAGGAAAAAUCGAAGAAUCACCCGUGUGAGAGACCAAAUGGAAAAGAAAAACAACCGUGGCACCACCGGAAAGGUAGAAGAACACUUCCCAAGGCACGUGCAAGGAUUAGGGUUGAGAAAAAAUAGCCGGAGGACGCCGGAAAAAUUGUUCGGAGGGCCGGCGGAGGCAAAAGAACCCCAAAAGAGGCACGUGCAGGGCUCGGAUGGCAGAAACAUGUAUGAAGGGUGGCUAGUCGGCAUCAGGCGAGGCUGGAGGAGGAAGCGCGUCGCUAGAAAGUGGCUCACGCGCCGGAGCGUAAGAUGCAGUCGUCGGCCGGAAAAAUGCGCGUGGGUGGUUUUUUGGCUCCGGUGCUUUGGGAAAAAUUGGAGAUCUCCUCCAGGCGCUCCUUGCGGUGUGGGAAAAAGACGUCGUCGGAAAAGUCGCCGGCGGUGAAUGUUUUCUGACGACGAUUCUACCGAUCGGAAAGCUUUGGGGUCUGGGGAAGGUGGCCGGAAUGAAACAUGGUCACAGGAAGGUUUCCCGGAAUUGAUGACACGGGGAAACUGGAAAGAAUUAGGUUUUCUCCCUUGGCUCUGAUACCAUGUUAAGAGAGAGAGAGAAGAAAACCUUGAUUUUCAUUCAUUGUGUCUACUUACAAUUAAGAAAAUAUAUAUAUACAAGGCUAGGAGUCCUAACUACCAUACAUGUGACCUAUAUUAAAAAAGAAAGAUUGUACACUAUAAAUUCAUUAUAUUCAACAAUCUCCUUGGUGGGUAAUGAGUAGAGGGUCUAAUUCUAGAAGGAUAAGUGGUGUGGGAAUGUUUUGUUGUGUAACUCUUUUCCGUUCUUAUUUGCCUUAGCAAGUUCAAAGGAUGCAUGGGUGGAGGAUGUGUGGGAUUCUUCUGUCCUUGGGGAGGGGGGCUGGAGCCUGUGUUUCUCUAGACCCCUCAAUGAUUGGGAAGUGUGGAGAGGUUUCUUUCAUAGUUAGAUGGAAUGAGGGUACAUAGGAUGAUGAACAUAGGGUGCUUUGGAUGGAGACAAGGAACGGGAAGUUCACUGUGAAGUCGCUCUAUACUGGUUUAGAGUCGAGGAUAUUGAUCUCUUUUCCUUGGAGCAACAUAUGGAAGGCGUGGGUGUAACCUAGGGUUAGCUUCUUCGCUUGGGAGGUGACUUGAGGAAAAAUCUUCGCAUUUGAUCAAGUCCAGGAAAGGGGGUGGUUUUUGGCGAAUAGAUGUUUUCUAUGUCAUGUUGAGGAAGAAUUUAUAAACCAUCUCCUUGUCCAUUGUGUAAAGACAAGAGUCUUGUGGGAGUUGCUUUUUGCCCUUUUUGGGGUGUCUUGGAUGUUGCCAUCGUCAGUUAGAGAGACUCUGUUACGGUGACAUGGUUCAUUUGUGGACAAGAAGCGUAGGAAGGUGUGGAGAGGUGGUCCAUUAUGCUUGUUUUGGAUAGUUUGAAAGACAAGAAAUAAAAUUGCCUUUGAGGAGGAAGAACUUUUAAUCCAAAGUUUAAAAAGUUCUUUUGUUUGUUUUCUUUGGUCAUAAGCAAAAGGGUGUAUAAAUGAUGUUCCUUUAACUCUUUUUAGUUUUCUAGAUUGGUUGGGCCUUUGGUGAUGGUGGGUUGGCUUAAAUUCAUUCUUAUUUUGUAACUUAGGUUUAUUGUGGUGUUUGUUGGUGGUAGCUAUAUAUGUUUUGUAUACCUUGAGUUGCUAUUUUAGCGGCCCUUUUUAAAUUUUUUUUUUAUCUAUAAAAAAAAGCAUUUUUUGGUAGGC
rnacentral:lncRNA from 1 species